rnacentral:rRNA from 1 species
UACAGAGGGUGCGAGCGUUGUUCGGAAUUAUUGGGCGUAAAGGGAGUGUAGGCUGUCUGGAAAGUCUUCUGUGAAAUCUACGGGCUUACCCUGUAAAGUGCAGAGGAAACUUCCAGGCUUGAGUGUCGGAGAGGACAGGGGAAUACCCAGUGUAGAGGUGAAAUUCGUAGAGAUUGGGUGGAACACCAGUGGCGAAGGCGCCUGUCUGGCUGACAACUGACGCUGAGACUCGAAAGCAUGGGGAGCAAAC